rnacentral:rRNA from 1 species
CAGCCGUAAACUAUGCGCGUUAGGUGUACUGGUGACCACGAGUCACCGGGUGCCGAAGGGAAACCGUGAAACGUGCCGCCUGGGAAGUACGGCCGCAAGGCUGAAACUUAAAGGAAUUGGCGGGGGAGGCACCGCAACGGGAGGAGCGUGCGGUUUAAUUUGGAUUCAACACCGUAAACUACACCAGGGAAGGACAGCAGAAAUGAUGGCCAGGUUGAUGACCUUGCUUGACAAGCUGAGAGGUGGUGCAUGGCGUGUGACUGU